GACGAACGCUGGCGGCGUGCUUAACACAUGCAAGUCGAACGGAAAGGCCCCCUUGUGGGGUACUCGAGUGGCGAACGGGUGAGUAACACGUGAGUAACCUACCCUUGACUUUGGGAUAACUUCAGGAAACUGGGGCUAAUACCGGAUAGGAGCUCCUGCUGCAUGGUGGGGGUUGGAAAGUUUCGGCGGUUGGGGAUGGACCCGCGGCUUAUCAGCUUGUUGGUGGGGUAGUGGCUCACCAAGGCUUUGACGGGUAGCCGGCCUGAGAGGGUGACCGGCCACAUUGGGACUGAGAUACGGCCCAGACUCCUACGGGAGGCAGCAGUGGGGAAUAUUGCACAAUGGGCGGAAGCCUGAUGCAGCAACGCCGCGUGCGGGAUGACGGCCUUCGGGUUGUAAACCGCUUUCGCCUGUGACGAAGCGUGAGUGACGGUAAUGGGUAAAGAAGCACCGGCUAACUACGUG
rnacentral:rRNA from 1 species